rnacentral:rRNA from 1 species
UACGAAGGGGGCAAGCGUUGUUCGGAAUUACUGGGCGUAAAGGGCGCGUAGGCGGCCGUUCAAGUCAGGCGUGAAAUUCCCGGGCUCAACCUGGGGGCUGCGCUUGAUACUGAUUGGCUUGAAUGCGGGAGAGGAUAGUGGAAUUCCCAGUGUAGAGGUGAAAUUCGUAGAUAUUGGGAAGAACACCGGUGGCGAAGGCGGCUAUCUGGCCCGUAAUUGACGCUGAGGCGCGAAAGCGUGGGGAGCAAACAGG